rnacentral:rRNA from 1 species
AUUGAACGCUGGCGGCAUGCUUUACACAUGCAAGUCGAACGGUAACAGGCCGCAAGGUGCUGACGAGUGGCGAACGGGUGAGUAAUGCAUCGGAACGUGCCCAGGCGUGGGGGAUAACGCAGCGAAAGCUGCGCUAAUACCGCAUACGAUCUCUGGAUGAAAGCGGGGGAACGAAAGGCCUCGCGCGAUUGGAGCGGCCGAUGUCAGAUUAGGUAGUUGGUGGGGUAAAGGCCACACAAGCCAACGAUCUGUAGCGGGUCUGAGAGGACAACCGGCCACACUGGGACUGAGACACGGCCCAGACUCCUACGGGAGGCAGCAGUGGGGAAUUUUGGACAAUGGGCGCAAGCCUGAUCCAGCAAUGCCGCGUGCAGGAAGAAGGCCUUCGGGUUGUAAACUGCUUUUGUACGGAACGAAACGGUCCGGGUUAAUACCCUGGGCUAAUGACGGUACCGUAAGAAUAAGCACCGGCUAACUACGUGCCAGCAGCCGCCGUAACAC